CCCCCCGUACAGUGCAAGUCAGCACAUCAUUUCCCCAUCUCACAAUGACUCAGAGGCUCUUGGGAUCAGAGUUUUCAAAGUGCACACAUGCAAUUCACACUUCUUAGAUGCUUCAAGCAGCUUUUAUCUCUUUAAAGGAUAUUGGGGAGCAGGGGAUAAAAGCACCACAGUUGUUGCUAACACACACACACACACAUACACACACACACUAUUGCAGAAAUGGGACAGAACAAAUUUCAUCGGAGGCAUUAAGAGGGAGACUAUCCCCUGCUAUCCCCCAUUAUCUCCAAUUUGAGGGGGGGCUUUGGAGAGCUCAGGGGAGCGACUCUACAAGUUCACAGCUGGAAAUGGAAACCCCAAUAUAUAAAAUUAAAGUCUGUACAAUUUCAUAACAGCACAUUUAUGAGCAACCUGAAAACAAAGAUAGCUGGAAAAAACCAACUGAACACUUUUCACAUAUGUGUUAAAUAUGUUUUACAAAUACUACUGCAGAUAAAAAGUAGAUCCACUCUUUUAGAGGUUCGCAUAAACAUUAAUCACUCAUGGUAGAUGGGAUUUCUUUUAAAAACAGCCCAAAUUGAUAUUACAUUUAUAGUUAAUAAGAAUUCUCUGCAGAAGCCAGCAUACCUAUUAUAUUUUAAGCUACAUUAUUAGCUAUUGUAAAUAAUUAUUAUUAGAACAUCGCAAAAACCAUAACUCAUAUUUGAUAUUAACCCAUCUUUCAUUAUAUUUAAUAAUUUUUUUGCAAUCUAAUCAAGCUAUUGUCUUGUCUUUCUUCUCCUUCCCAAAAUCCAGGAAAUGUGUCAACUUAGCCAUUGCUGCAAAGUCGAACAGUUUACCAACCUAUUCUUUAAGGUGGUGCUGAUUAUCUCUACGUUUUUGCAAGCAUAUAAAGGACUAAAAUAUAAGAGUCUAGUACUUUAUUAUUCUGCCCUACAGAAUUUCAUAGAAUAGCUUAGAAUCCUUAUCAAAUGAUUUAAAAAAUCCUCCAUGAUUUCUUUGACACCAUUACACAUUUCCACCAUGUGGAAAACAUCACUCAUGAUUGGGAAAUGCUUUCAAAUGUUUCUGCUUUAAUUUUGCCUGGAGUCACGCUUUUCUCCCCAUUUCUCAGAGAUUACUGUGGAAGGGAUCCUCUGGUUGGCCUUCAGAGAGGUCAGGUGUCAGUUUUCUCUAGCAAUGCUUAACAACCAUCUAUUAAUAUGGCAGUGUGUAUUUCUACAAGUAAUUCCAUACUCUGUGUGUGUACUACACUUUCUUUCCAGAAGCCUGCAGUGGGAGUUCCUCUUAAUGACAUAAUGACAAUUAUUCAUCUGAUGAUAAGACACCUCAAACUUUAGGCAUGACCACAAAGACUUCAAGGACUUCUCUGAACUGACAACCUGUUUGAUGAAAUGUGUAACCACCAAUAAUAGGAGGACAAGAAAUGUCUAUGUGUCAUCACCACCAGAAGCAUCCCUUGCCAUCCCUUGAGGCAUACAGCAUGCGCUGCCCACCUGCUGAAAGAUGCCCAACACCACCCAUAUAUCAUUAUGGAUGUGUGGGCCCAGAAAAAGGCAGAUUGAGAAGAACAUUAGCAUGAUGAGGUCUAUCUGCCAGGAGUUCACCAACUGCAUCAAACAACCAUACAAGUGUACAAGGCUAUGUGGACUGGACUUCUGAAUAUUAGUGGAUCUAUGCACAAUUGAGGACAGGAGCUGAGGGGUCUAAGGAAAACACCAGUUGACUUUUGUGGGGGAGAACCCAUGUAAACAACUGCCACAACCACCACGAGGGAAAUGGCUGGCGUUGACGAAGAGCCCAUGCAGAGUGAGAGAGGGUCAUGGAUCAGUGCACCAGGGGUUGGUGCAGAACCUCCUGGACCGCCAUGUGUCAGGGCCAGGUGAGAGUCCCCUGCAACACGACAGAGGAGGAGAAGAGCAAGUGUGUGCGUGGACACAGGCACUGACGUCAAUGCCACUAGGGGGUGUCAAACAGGAGAGCUGCGUCACAAAAGCUACUUCCAUUUGUAUAGAGCACAAUUGUUCACUGGCCUGUAACAAUAAAGUUUAUUGAAGGAAAAAGAUUUGUCCUGUGUGGUGCACAUUUCUGUUAAGUCAUACUCCUAACUCUUGGCUAACAAAGGAUUUGUGUAUUGCUGGCACUGAUGCAACUGUCUGCUCAUGUGUCGGGCAAAACGUUGAUCAUCGCGUCUACUAAAUCCGCAGUGCACAGCCACCCGUGUUUUCUCAUUGAUUUUAUAUAACAACAUGGGUCCCGAUCCCAGUGCACUUCACUUGCUUAAAUACACCACACCCUUAAACACUACAACCUGUAUCAUGCUUCAUGUUUCUAAUAAUAUGAUGCAACUCAAGAUGCAACAUAGCACAAACGUUAUUCAAUCUAGAACAAUAAUUCACAGAGCAGUGCUAACAAACUCAUGCCCCUCAUGAUUCUUUGAAUCAAAGCCACUGUUCCUUCUACCCUUUCCUGUGAGACUAAUAUUGCCAACUAGUGGGUGGCAUUUGAUUAAUCUCUUCUGUCUUUUAUUUUCUUCAUUUGAGAUGUGUUUGUGUGUGUGUUUAAGGAGAAACUGGAUAAACACCUGCCUGGAACAGUUUUGGAAAGCUAGUGAGUCCCUUCCAGCAUGAUUCUAUCUGAGUUGCUAUUACUGUUAUCUCUCUUCUC